rnacentral:misc_RNA from 1 species
UACGGAGGGUGCGAGCGUUGCUCGGAAUUACUGGGCGUAAAGAACACGUAGGCGGUUUGGUAAGUCUGAUGUGAAAGCCCACGACUCAAUCGUGGAAGUGUAUUGGAUACUAUUAAACUCGAGUACAGGAGGGGUGAGCGGAAUUCCAGGUGUAGAGGUGAAAUUCGUAGAUAUCUGGAGGAACAACGGUGGCGAAGGCGGCUCACUGGACUGUAACUGACGCUGAGGUGUGAAAGUGUGGGGAGCAAACAGG